rnacentral:rRNA from 1 species
GGGGGGCUAUACCUGCAAGUCGAGCGGACAGAUGGGAGCUUGCUCCCUGAUGUUAGCGGCGGACGGGUGAGUAACACGUGGGUAACCUGCCUGUAAGACUGGGAUAACUCCGGGAAACCGGGGCUAAUACCGGAUGGUUGUUUGAACCGCAUGGUUCAGACAUAAAAGGUGGCUUCGGCUACCACUUACAGAUGGACCCGCGGCGCAUUAGCUAGUUGGUGAGGUAACGGCUCACCAAGGCAACGAUGCGUAGCCGACCUGAGAGGGUGAUCGGCCACACUGGGACUGAGACACGGCCCAGACUCCUACGGGAGGCAGCAGUAGGGAAUCUUCCGCAAUGGACGAAAGUCUGACGGAGCAACGCCGCGUGAGUGAUGAAGGUUUUCGGAUCGUAAAGCUCUGUUGUUAGGGAAGAACAAGUGCCGUUCAAAUAGGGCGGCACCUUGACGGUACCUAACCAGAAAGCCACGGCUAACUACGUGCCAGCAGCCGCGGUAAUACGUAGGUGGCAAGCGUUGUCCGGAAUUAUUGGGCGUAAAGGGCUCGCAGGCGGUUUCUUAAGUCUGAUGUGAAAGCCCCCGGCUCAACCGGGGAGGGUCAUUGGAAACUGGGGAACUUGAGUGCAGAAGAGGAGAGUGGAAUUCCACGUGUAGCGGUGAAAUGCGUAGAGAUGUGGAGGAACACCAGUGGCGAAGGCGACUCUCUGGUCUGUAACUGACGCUGAGGAGCGAAAGCGUGGGGAGCGAACAGGAUUAGAUACCCUGGUAGUCCACGCCGUAAACGAUGAGUGCUAAGUGUUAGGGGGUUUCCGCCCCUUAGUGCUGCAGCUAACGCAUUAAGCACUCCGCCUGGGGAGUACGGUCGCAAGACUGAAACUCAAAUGAAUUGACGGGGGCCCGCACAAGCGGUGGAGCAUGUGGUUUAAUUCGAAGCAACGCGAAUAACCUUACCAGGUCUUGACAUCCUCUGACCAUCCUAGAGAUAGGACGUCCCCUUCCGGGGGCAGAGUGACAGGUGGUGCAUUGGUUGUCCUUCGCUCCGUGUCGUGGGCAUGUUGGGGUUAAGGCCCCGCCACGGAUGGUAGCCC